rnacentral:rRNA from 1 species
GGUGCGAGCGUUGUCCGGAAUUACUGGGCGUAAAGGGCUCGUAGGUGGUUUGUCGCGUCGUCUGUGAAAUUCCGGGGCUUAACUCCGGGCAUGCAGGCGAUACGGGCAUAACUUGAGUACUGUAGGGGUAACUGGAAUUCCUGGUGUAGCGGUGAAAUGCGCAGAUAUCAGGAGGAACACCGAUGGCGAAGGCAGGUUACUGGGCAGUUACUGACGCUGAGGAGCGGAAGCAUGGGUAGCGAACAGGAUUAGAUACCCUGGUAGUCAAGGGCG